rnacentral:rRNA from 1 species
GACGAACCGUGCGAACGUUGUUCGGAAUCACUGGGCUUAAAGGGCGCGUAGGCGGCUUGUCAAGUCCGGGGUGAAAUCUUUCGGCUCAACCGGAAAAGUGCCUUGGAUACUGGCAAGCUCGAGGGAGGUAGGGGCAUGUGGAACUUCCGGUGGAGCGGUGAAAUGCGUUGAUAUCGGAAGGAACGCCGGUGGCGAAAGCGACGUGCUGGCCCUCUUCUGACGCUGAGGCGCGAAAGCUAGGGGAGCGAACGG